GACGAACGCUGGCGGCGUGCUUAACACAUGCAAGUCGAACGGAAAGGCCCUGCUUUUGUGGGGUGCUCGAGUGGCGAACGGGUGAGUAACACGUGAGUAACCUGCCCUUGACUUUGGGAUAACUUCAGGAAACUGGGGCUAAUACUGGAUAGGAGCUCCUGCUGCAUGGUGGGUGUUGGAAAGUUUCGGCGGUUGGGGAUGGACUCGCGGCUUAUCAGCUUGUUGUUGGGGUAGUGGCUUACCAAGGCUUUGACGGGUAGCCGGCCUGAGAGGGUGACCGGACACACUGGGACUGAGAUACGGCCCAGACUCCUACGGGAGGCAGCAGUGGGGAAUAUUGCACAAUGGGCGGAAGCCUGAUGCAGCAACGCCGCGUGCGGGAUGACGGCCUUCGGGUUGUAAACCGCUUUCGCCUGUGACGAAGCGUGAGUGACGGUAAUGGGUAAAGAAGCACCGGCUAACUACGUG
rnacentral:rRNA from 1 species